AUCUUUGCGCAUGGGGUUAUAUCCAAAGCUGUGAAGUCUUAACUGAGCUUGGAAUAUUGCUGGUUGAAAACUAAAUUCCAUACCCCGUGACGGUCGCGCACGCGUCGUCACGAAUUUCUGCAGGCGCACCACACGCG
rnacentral:snRNA from 1 species